AAAGUGGUUUUAAUGCAUUGAGUUUCACAUCGGACACCAAAAGGCUUUUGUUACUUUGUGCCAAAUGGAGGGUCCUUAGCUCCUCUCUCUCUCUCUCUACCCUUCAGUUUUCUCUCCUGCUUUGCUACUGCUAAGAAUCAAAACACUUCUUCAAUCUCUACUACUUCUGGUUAACUCACUGAUCUUCAGAUUUAUUCAGGUAUAAAAUCCGGGCCUUUUUCUUUCUGGAAUUUUGAUGUCUCCACCAUUACUUGAUGUUGGGGAGGUGGAGGAAAGUCGCAGCAAUGUCACUCUGUUGGCUUCCUCAAACUCGAUGGAGAGUGUCAGUCCGAACAAUUUGGAAUUUGAAGAGCGUAAUUACAUGGGAUUAUCUGAUUCUUCUUCAGAGGACAGCUGUAUGACUGCCACAAAAUCUGAUGGAAACAAACCCUCGCUGAAUCUUAAGGCUACAGAACUGAGGCUUGGUCUCCCUGGAUCUGAAUCCCCCGAGAGAGAUCCAGAUAAUUGCCUGCGUAGCUCUUCUCAACUUGAUGAAAAACCACUAUUUCCUUUGCACCCAUCAAGUGAUGGUCUCUACUCUUCCCCACAAAAGACUGUCGUCUCAGGCAACAAAAGGGGGUUUUCUGAUGCUAUGAACGAAUUCUCAGAGGAAAAAUAUCACGCUAACAUAGGUUUGAAAGCUGGUUCUUUGCUAGAGAACCUUGGAAGUCAAAUGGGGAAAGUGAAAGAGCCAACUACACAAAAGGCUGUACAAGAGAGGCCUCAAGAAAAUAGUGAAUCUAGACCAUCUCACAAUGAAACUGCAAAUAACAACACCAGCACACCUGUUUCCAAGGCACAGGUUGUGGGUUGGCCGCCCAUAAGAUCUUUCAGGAAGAACACAUUGGCUACAACUUCAAAGAACAAUGAUGAAGUUGAUGGAAAGGCAAUGGCUGGGGCACUCUUUAUCAAAGUCAGCAUGGAUGGUGCUCCUUAUCUUAGGAAGGUAGAUCUGAGGAAUUACUCUGCCUAUCAGGAGCUGUCUUCUGCCCUUGAGAAGAUGUUCAGCUGUUUCACUAUAGUUUGCAUGGAUCUAGUUACUGUUGUUUCAGUAUUGAGCAGGUCAAUAUGGAGCUCAUGGAGCUCUGGGCAUGGAGAAAAUGAGUGAGAGCAAGCUGAAAGAUCUUCUUCAUGGCUCCGAAUAUGUAUUAACAUAUGAGGAUAAAGAUGGUGACUGGAUGCUCGUUGGUGAUGUCCCUUGGGAGAUGUUCAUCGACUCUUGUAAGAGGCUGAGGAUUAUGAAGAGCUCCGAUGCAAUUGGACUGGCUCCUAGGGCGGUGGAGAAGUGCCGAAACAGGAGCUAGGUAAUAAGCGCAAUGCCACGGUUGAUGCUAUCCAUCUAAAUGUUGAAGCAAGAUUGAUUAAACUAAAAGUACGUCAUAUGUGGCUUUGGAAGGUGGUUCGAGGAAUGACAAAGUGUUGGAUGGGAUAGGUUCUUGUGUGCAUCCCUUUGUUACCUUCUGUCUUUUUUUUUUUUUUAAUCUUUCUUUUAAUUAUUAUGUUUAUGUUACUUUGAUGGCGUCUAAGCAGUUGUCUAGUUUGUGAACUGAACUAUUUAAGAAUUAAUGAGCAAAUCUGCAGAUUUGUGGACAAGUCCCUGUCCCUUCUUUGCAGGACUCCUAAAAGUUUGUAAAGUUAUUGAUUGUCAAACUGUGUUGUUUUGAAUGUUCUGUAAUAUUGUAAACUUCUGUCUAUUUGACUUGACUUCUUCAAAUCCUACUUCCACCUGAGUGUUCUUUUA